rnacentral:rRNA from 1 species
UGGGGAAUCUUCCGCAAUGGGCGAAAGCCUGACGGAGCAACGCCGCGUGAGUGAAGAAGGCCUUCGGGUCGUAAAGCUCUGUCUUAGAGGAAGAACAUCAUUUGUGUGAAUAAUGCGAAUGACUGACGGUACUCUUAGAGGAAGCUCCGGCUAACUACGUGCCAGCAGCCGCGGUAAUACGUAGGGAGCGAGCGUUGUCCGGAAUUACUGGGCGUAAAGGGCGUGUAGGCGGGGUUUUAAGCAGGAUGUGAAAUAUAUGGGCUCAACCCGUAGGCUGCAUUCUGAACUGGAACUCUUGAGGGCAGGAGAGGAAAGUGGAAUUCCUAGUGUAGCGGUGAAAUGCGUAGAUAUUAGGAGGAACACCAGUGGCGAAGGCGACUUUCUGGACUGUACCUGACGCUGAGGCGCGAAAGCGUGGGGAGCAAACAGG